rnacentral:lncRNA from 1 species
GCAGCCCUUAAAGGACCGUUAGGCGGCCGCUGGGCUCUGCGCAAGCGCGAGCGGCGCGCGCGUGCGUCGGGCGGGAAGCUGAGGGGGGCGAGGCCGCGGGGUGGGCUGCCUGCUCGCGGGCGUGCUGUGGUCGUCCUGCCGCCCUCGUUAGAUCUUCCAUGCUUCCAACUAGAAAAAAAAGCUGUCAGAAAAGGCUUCUUUUAGGCUCUGACCCACCGGCUGUGUCCUCGUGUGGAAUCAUCCCCUGCCUUGCAGCACACGGGGCAGAUAGCGGAGAGUCCAGAGCCUGUUUAAAAUCAAUUCGGUGCGCUACGACGGUCCUGCGAAAUGUAGUCAUUAUAAACGCUUGAGCUGAGAGAAGAAUUGCUCUGACUGGCGCUGCAGAUCACUACAGCAGCAGAAUACCACAGACUCUUAAAUUACUACAGAAGAGAUACCCAUUGUCUGGACAGCUGGGACUGGACUGAUGAUUCCGCUCCACAGCCAGUCAGUCAGUCGCUCACCAGCUCUCAGAUUCCUCGCAGGAGAACUUCUGGCACUCUCCACUGCUGCUUCUGGAAAUAAGAAUUGUUGGUGCUGUCAGUUCAGUGCCUCACUCUGCUCCUUUCCUAACCUUGCCACCAGCUGCUGGUGCCUGAAGUGGCAAAGUCAGCAGACGGACAGUUCAGUGGUACAAGUUGCAGAGACUGCAAAGGAACUCACCUUGGUAUGUAUCACAGGAAAAGUUUUCUUGUCUAAGAGAAAGUUUGAAAAUUAAAGAAGAGUUCUUGUAGAUU